GACGGACCUACAAAAUAGACACCAAUUAAUGCUAAACUGUUGCUGAGGAAAGACAUUGCUAGGUGUCAUGUUAUUUGCUUUUGGAAGAGCUGAAUGACCCUGUAGAGACAGAUGGAAAUUAUGUGGGGCAGAAAGGAAGGAAAGUGGCAUCUGCUUAAAGACAAUUGUCAUUGACCUCAAAUGGCAGGUGCUUCUCCAAACACUGCUUCUGGCCUGCUGGAAUUACACCAUCAAUUCCUAUUAAGAAUCUACCCAAUUAAACAAAAAUAGCAUUUUGUCAUCAAAAUUAUGUGCAAGAAUAGUUUUGGGACCAAGUCCCACACAAAAAAUAUUGGCUUUUCUAUUACUUUAAUGAGACUUGUCAAAAGCAUAACAUGCAGAGCCAGAACAAUACGUCGGGCGUAAUCUUCAAUUUCUAACAAAAACAUAUGCUUUGAGUUUGGUUUGUAACCCUACCCGUCUGUAAACAGUUUGUUAGUAUUGACUUGUAGCAUGAGUAUCUAUGGGAAACGCAAGGAUGUUCCAUGUAAAUCACAGCCAGACAGAUGUCAGCUCUGGAACUUUUAGAAGGUAUUUGUGCCAACAAGCUACACAUUUUUAGCUAGCACACACGCAAAGCAACAGAGAUUGAACAGUUAUCAAGUUUUUAAGUGGUUUCCUCAAGUUGGCUACGGAAUUCUCUCUCUCUCUCUCUCUCUCUCUCUCUCUCUCUCUCUCUCUCUCUGUGUGUGUGUGUGUGUGUGUAUGUAUGAAUGAGAGAAUAUGAGAGAGAGAGAGAGAGAGAGAGAGAGAGAGAGAGAGAGAGAGAGAGAGAGAGAGAGAGAGAAGAAACAGAAUUAGCUAUAGGUGGCUGACGAAUUGUUACCAGAUGGAAACAAGAUUGUCUCAGCUGAGACAACAGGUCCUAAAGCAAUAAUGUCCAAGGAAUGGAAAGAGAGUUCAGCUCCUACAUAUUAUUGACAUAUUAUUGACAUUUCAGACUCUGCUAAAAAGCUCCAUGAAAGGACUGGUUGCUAUAGGGGCUUUAGGAUUUAGGCAGCUGAGAGAAGGAUAAGGACUGCUUCAAGUCUUCUGUAUAUCCUACAGUGAAAACAGUCCAUAUAUGAAAAAGGGUGAAACCUGGACAUAGUGCAACGAUCACUUGCAUCUAUACAACUAGGUUUAUAUACACUGAGAAGAUGGGGGAUUCACUCUGGCUGACUAAAGCCUGUACAUGUGGAACAGGCAUGCAAGGAAUCAACAUGUGACAAAUAUAAAUAUGGGUUUGAUGCUCUUGCUAUAUGAAAGUGCUUUCUGAGUAGGAAUUUUUGAAUGCUUUAAGUGGCCCAAAAUCACAUUGGUGGGUUUCAACUUCGGCAAUGAGGAGCUGCAUCAGAGUAAAUAUAUGUGAACCUUAAUCUAAAACUAACAUUGCAUCUGGUGAAAACUUGGUUCAGAUAAGCUAAUGGCAGGUAAGCCAUGCAUGAAGCAGGGAAGUUGGGCAAGCAUGUUUCCUUAAAAAAUAUGUUUGAACUCUGGGAUUCAUGGCAUUGAUUACAAUGAACAAAAGAGCAGCAACUCUUUCCCACAAAAUAAAGAAUGUACUAACACAUGCUGGAUGCCACCUGGUGAAAAUAUGGUACUAUACCAUACUUAUAUUCUAUGCCCAGUCUCCAGCCUGGAGUUACAGAAAUAUAGAAGGCAUAGAUUUCUAGUGGAAACAUACUCCUCCUCUUCUUCUUCUUCUUCUUCUUCUUCUUCUUCUUCUUCUUCUUCUUCUUCUUCUUCUUCUUCUUCUUCUUCUUCAAGUCCUAGAUUUUAGCUGUGCCAUUGGUGAAAGCAGACUAAGCAAACCUUCACAUCUCUAGGCCUUAUAUUUGACACAAAAUAUAAGCAGAAGAAUGAAAGGCCUGUUUUGGAAAGAUACAAAAGGAUACAAAACUAGUUUAAGGAUCUAAAGUGGAGAUGGAAUAAAACCUCUUGGACAUUUCUCAUGCUACAGUCACUGCAGAAAAAGAGUGUGUAUUUUAUGUGCUCUUGUUCUCUGUCUUUCACUCACACACACAUGCACGUGACUGAAGCAGCUUCUUGCAUGUCUGCCCUGGUGGAUCAAUAAGGGUUUGAAGCACUCAGCACUCUAGAAGGGUGAGUCACUUUGGCAUUAUGCAGUUUCUGAGAAGGCCUUAUAUUAAAAGGUCAAGAACAUUUUCCAAAAAUGCAGCUCUGCUCAUUUCUUGUCCAGGGGUGUAACCAGAACCACACACUAGAAGUUGUUGCAUGAGAAACACUGUCGUGUGUGUAGAAUUUUGUGUACUAACUGCUUCUUCUCAAAGUUCCAUUGGUUCAGUCCUGCAAUAUACUGUAAACCCUAAGACAUUCUACUCCAGUCUUGUUGAUAUCAUUGUAGCAGAUUGUCAAUUAAGAGAUUAUGAAUCCAUUCUGAAGCCUGUCAUGGUGGGAGAUAUGGGGCUAGUGAGUAGAAUGAGGAGAAUUUAUCAAAAGAUGAGUUCUGGGACAAAGUUGAGUGGUACAUUUUCUAAAUGUAGGAUAUGGUUUCUAGUAACUUCCACCAGGAUUUUACUAGUCAUUCUUUAAUAAAGGAGAGCAUUUCCUCAACCAAAAUCUGAGAACAGACUUCAACAUGAUCCCUAUCUCUUACACAAGAUUGAUGACCAGAUGUCUGAAGGUAUUGUUUACAUCCCAUGUGCAUAAACAAAAGUGAAAGAUUGAAGGAGACCUUCAGGUGCUAUUGUGAUCUGAAUCUAUGUUACCAGUGAGUCCAAGCAUGCAAUGCAUACCCUGAGUUAUGUUGCUACUUUUCUACAAAUGAAGGCAGUGAUCAGGUCCAUUUUCUUUGGUAUUUUUAUUCCACUGCCACAGAGGAAAGUAUAAAAUAUGUUAAACAUUUGAGUGGUAUUGAUGCUAUACAAUUCAGAAUACACAGAAUAAAAGCAAAACAAAACAAACAAAUAUUCACAGAAAGCCAAGCCCCAAAGGCAACAGAGUGCCACUGCUCUCCCUUAUUGACAAUAAUACAUCACUGAAAGCAAUAUCAGUUCCACUACAGUAUCCUGAGGCCAAUAACUGGUUAACUAACACCUGCUCAUUACCUCUGCAUGCAAAGCCAGUGCAGCAUCCUGUUUUUGUGCAGAAAUCAAUGGAAGUCAACCCUAUGACUUGAUUUGAUGGCAGUAGGCGAAGAGAUGGAGGAGGCAGCUGAACACAGACAAGCUCAGCCUACAACUGCAUUAUUCAAAACAAUGCAGUUAAAACAAUGAGCUUCCUGUGGCAUCUGAAUCAAGGCCCUGAGGUUUUCAACAUAGAUCAGCUGGUGACUAAACCAGUGGAAACUCAGUGCUGACCCAAAGUAAACAACUAGUUGCACAGUCAAACCCUUUCUAUUGUAUAAGAGAUUAGGUGGUAUGAUUUGUUGCUUUCCUCAUAAUCCAAUUGAAACAGUUUGGUUGUUCUUUUUCUUCUAAAUCAAAAUGCUGCUCUUUUCUUCUUCUUUUUUGAAGUUCUUUUCAUAAAUUAACCCUGUUCUGGUUUUUACCGAAAUCUGUUGCUCAACCACCGCAGCAGACCACUCAGUUGAGAAAUAAAACUUAUUUGCUACAUUGUGCAAUCUCUGUAUUCACACUAAUCUCUUGUAGCUCCUUUUCAGAGUUACUGGUCUUAUUGACAAAAGUUCCAGCUUUAAAUACACAUGAGAGCAAGUAUUUUUGGCUGCUUGUUCCCACUAAAUGAUGUCAACUGCUACCAAAUACCCCUCCUGUUUAUUAGUUCCCCACCCUAUCCACUUCUUGUGCAUACUAUUAAUGUUCAUAUACCUCCCAAUGAAACAAAUGAUGUCUAGCAUGAUUUUCCAAUUACUUGGCACAGGAACACACAUGCUUGGUUUUCAUUAUUUCUUUACGUUAUUGUCAAGAUGACAUUGACAUAUACACUGAAAUAACAUACAGAAGGUAUUAAAACAUUAUUACAAACUGUUUGGGGAACUUGAGAAAAGCCCAGCAGAAGCUGACGAGUGCUGUUUAGAAAGCUGUGGCAGGAACAUUCGGAAAAGUUGACCACGUAGCUUUAAUAUCCCCAAGGAUCUCACUGUUUUUUCCUUUGCAUAAUUUUUCCAUGAAUAAUCAUUCAAGUGCUAUAAACAAAUGGUAACUUAUGCAAUCCUUUAUUAGCGCAUUAAGCCUCCAGAGUGUAAACUUUUAGUUCACUAAUUUUGCCCUAAUAAAACGAAACAGGAGCUGAUAGAUCUCAAGCUGAUGAAAUGACUGAAUGGGGAGCCACAAAUCUCAUAGUUUGAACUGAGUAACAAGCAGAAGACAUUUUAAGUUUUUUAAGAAACUUUUUUGGGUUUGGCGCAUAAAAGUGUUAUUGAUGCUAAGUUGGGUAAAGGUCUACAUAGCCUAUGUGAAAUUUGGCCAGAUACUUACCUACUUAAUUGCUAAUGUAACCAUAACUCUGGGCCUGGUUAAGAACCAGGCACAAAACAGAUGCUUAAGAAAAUCAGAGAAGAAAUCUGUCAAACAGAAGAAAAAUAUAAACAUGUUGUAAAAAGGGUUAAGCCUUUAGCUCUGGCUAUUGCAAAAUCAUAGUUUUCCUCGUUUCAGUGCUUUUUAAAUGCCCACUAAAGUCUAUUAAAAUGUACAAUAUGUGGAAAGCCUGCAAGUUACAUCUGCUAUGUUGCAGACACCAGAGAGAGACAAAUAAAAGGAACAUGUUUGGUGUUUUAAAAAAAAUAAAAUUAAAUCCUUGUUUUGACUCUAACUAGGCAGUUCUGUGAAAGAAGAUGCAAAGAGAUGACCAAUGAAAACAACGGAGCCAGGAAGAUACAUUUUAGACUGUCACAGACAGUCAUCUCUGCUUAAGGUAAUUCCUGGAGAACGGAGACACCCUGUACCUGUACAGAAGAAGUCCCUUUGUGAUAUGUGCGUUCAUUGCAAGCUCGUUCCAGGGUCAGACAUAUUGAGCAUGACUGGGCCAAUUUCCACCUCAUUACGGUAAUGUAAUUCCUCUGACUUAGGGGAGUUGCUCUUCUGCAUUCACAGUGGGGUAAUGGAAAUGAGAAUGCUCUUGUCAGGAAGUAUUAUGGGGCCCCAACAGUGAUGUGGUUUCACGGAGUUUAGCCUGAAGAAAUUGAAGAAACAAAAGGAUCUAUUUAUGGCUGGAGCACUGCCUACUGCGUUGAAAAGAACAUGUCCUGCUUGACCUAGUCCUUCACCUCUCAAAUAAACACCACAGUGUAUGUAAUGAUUGGCCAUUUUCUUCUAUCCUCCAUGAUUCUUCCCAGAGACUGUAUUGGACGUUCAAGGGUCAAACAGUGCAAAGACCUAACACACAACAGUCCAGACUAUGGAAUUCUUCACAGAUAAUGCUUUACCUAUGGUGAGAUAAUCUCUACAAAGGGAGGGGUGUGUGGAGAGUGUACACUGUCUUUUGUUUAGUGUGGGUUGGAUUUUUAUUUUAAUCACAAGGACAUGGAUUGUGAUGCUGAUGCAGAUCCUGGCUUCCUGAGUCAUGUUUUUGCACCUAAAUAAAUACGUCUUUAAAAAAAUAUACAGUAGCUAGUAAAUCAAUUUUAAUUUCAUCACUGACAUUAUUUCUGUGUAAGAAAAUAACUUGUGUGAAGUAAGUCUUAUAUGUACUGUAUCCACUAAUAUGUCUGGUUUCUUAAAAUGACACUGAUCGUCUUGAAAUGCAUACAGCAAAAAUGCAAAGCAGGUUUGCAUCAGACCAAAAUGCAUUACAGAGGAACACGGAAAGCUGCUAGAAACUUAAUGGUGAGGUUUUAGGAAUGAGGACAAUUCUUUAACACUUUUCUACAUUUAAGAGCUUUCAGAUGCUGGGAACAUACACAAUUUCUGCUCUGUAUUACGUUAAAACAUUCUCUGGGAAAAAUUAUUGAAGCACAUGUUCCAAAAUAAUCCGUCUGCUGGCUGUGGUGCUCAUGUUGGACAUCUUUUAGUCUACGUUACAGGAACACAGAUGGCUUUUUUCAUCAUAGACACUUGAUUGGAAAAUGUGAACAGUUGAAAUAUUUUAAAUGGUGUCCAAAUAGAUAUUGUCUCCCAAUCCUUAUGAUUCUGUGGCACCACUAAAGAACUUAAAAUGUCCCUAGUAGAAUUCUACAACUUCUAGAAACAUAGGUACUUUGUACAACCCUGAAUUUGAAAGCUUUUUACUACAUAUAAAUGGUAGUAAUGGGCUAGUUUUACUCUAUGGGUAGCAUUCCUAUGUUAGCAUGAAUGGUGGCAGCUGAAACAGAAAACCAGCCAUCAAUAUAAAACUACUCUGUUGUGAAAAGUACUUUUGUCUCUUGUCCAUCACUUGGUCUGAUUUCUGGAAAGUUGGUUGGCAAACAAGCAGACAGCUGGUUUGCUCUGACAUGUCAAAGCCAAAAUUGCUGGAGAAUAAAGCUGUAUUGACUGAGUUUCAUGUUGUCACAGGACACUUUGCAAGAAAACCACAUUUCAAUGAAAUGAUCUUCAGCGGAAUGGGAGAAGGCAUUUGCUAAAGAUGGUUAUCAGGGUAGGAACGAACCCUUAAUUCUGCAGUCAUCAGAUGGCUAACAUACAAACUUCACUAUAGAAAAGGAAUAAAUGAAGCUGCUGCUCACCUGAAUGGAUUACGAUAACUCAGUUAAUUAAACU